rnacentral:sRNA from 18 species
GUCAACUACCCCGCCCUAAAGGGCGGAGCUUGCCUGCCUGCCGCGCCGCACCUGCCUGCGCCGCGUGCGUCGCGGCAGGCAGGCGCGGCGCAGGCAGGUGAAAGCAAGCUAGGUUGACCAGCCUAAGCCCGCCUGACCAGAAAGGUCGAAAGGGGCUACGUGUACAACAGGUCGUUAAGACUCACCGGCAGAUGCUUCCUCAGUCUGCCGCUCUGGA